CAACAGAAGAAGAGAUGUGACAACGAACGUAAGAGGUCUGAGUGACGUGCAAGGAAGGGGCCACCAGCCAAGGAAAGCACAUGGGCUCCAGAAGCUGGAAAAGGAAAGGAAACGGAUUCUUUCCUAGAGUCUCCAGAAGGAAACAGCCCUGCUGACUCCUUCACUUUAGCCCAGUGAAACUGGUUUCCAGUUUCUGGUCUCCAGAUUGAGGAUGGAAAGUGGAUUAUUGAGAGGAGGAAGAAGAUCCAAGGAAGCAGAGAAUCCAUUUAGUGAUCAUAUUGUCUAGGCAGCAAAAGGAAGACUGGCCCUGAGCCAGCAUCCAUGCCCAUCUUCCUCUACUUUAUAUGUGGGAUGCCUGCCAUGGCAUGGCUUGAUUAGCAGUGCAUAGGUCCGCACCCGGGAUCCAAACCCACAAACCCUGGGCGGCUGAAGAGGAACAUGCGAACUUAACUGCUGCACCACCGGGCCAGCCCCUGUAAAGCUCUUUUGGCCUUGCACGAGUAGGGAAAUGGUGCCAAGAGGCCAAGGAUCAUAUCUGACUUGUUUUUGGCUGAAUCUCAGUGCCAAUGAAAUGUACGAGGUGUCCAACGACUGUGGGAGGAAGGAACAGAGGCAAGGAGGAAGACGGGAGAGAGAGGAGAGCAGAAUCAGAUGACACUUUCCUGGUCAUUCAGCCACAACAUAUGGGCAACAUUUUAAUUCUAAUUCCUUUUUAAAAUAAUAUUGAGUCAUAUUUAAAUGUUCUUUGACUUUUUGGGAGUGAAGACAUUUUUAUUUUCUCAGCAUGGGAUUGUAAGCCUGUGAUGUGGUUCCUUCAUUAGAAUGUUAGUUAUUCAUGAUGUUAGUCUUUUUAUUUCAUCUUUUGAAUGUUGCAUUUCUAUCCCUAUUUUCUCUCCUGGCCAACUAUCUUGCAAAUGUCACCACAAGGGAGAUGCGAUGGAAAAAUAAUUGUAAACAAAGAUAAUUGUAAACAAAUCCUUUGUGGGUCAGUAGGCUUUUGUCAUAUUUAAGGAACGUGUCACAGCAGUAUAUUGUAAUUGGGGAAUCAGGAAACUUAUGUGCAUUCUGCCACCCACAUGCUUUGAUGAUGAAUAAAGCUUUUCCGCAGAAUUUUUUCUUCAGAAUCAAAACUUCUCUAUAACUAUUUUGUACUGAUUACUUGAUAACUAUUCUUAAAUGUAAUGGACAUCUAGGGAUGAGAAUUUCUGUCUUAUAGUGAAGUGCUAUAUUGCUUACAUUUCUAUAUAAAAGCUCAUUCAUGAGGUUGUUACUUUUUGUCAUUAAAAAAUAAAGCAGGUGUCAACAUUCUCCACUGGAGACUAUGACUUUAAGCAAACAAAGGACACAUAUUUUAUGAUUACAUUUAUGUGGAAUGUCCAGAUAGUGCAACUUCAUAGAGACAGAAAGCAGAUUAGUGGUUGCCAAAGGCUGAGGGGAGGGAAAAUGGGGAACUAUCAUUCCUUUUGGGAUGAUGAAAAUGUUGUAAAAUUAGAUAGUGGUGAUGGUUGUACAACUCGUAAGUAUACUAGAAACUACUGAAUUUUACACUUUUAAGGAAUUUUAUGGUAUAUGAAUUAUAUCUCAAUAAAAAUGUAUUUUAAAAAGCC
rnacentral:lncRNA from 1 species